AUGUGAGGUGCUUGGUUCACGUAGCAACACUCUCAGGUCACACAGCUGUCAGGGGCCCCUGGAUGUGAACCCUGUCUGUUCUGGCUCCAGAGCCCUUGGGCGCUGUCUUGCCCUGUGCUGUUCCUUGCUGAGAGGAAGAGGAGCCCCCGGAACAGGCAGACGGAAGUCUGUGCACUCGGCGAGCUGACCGCCAGCUCAAACACCCAUAAGGUCUGACCCGUCCCUCCCAGGUCAUCCAGGAUCUCAAGCUGCAGAGGAAGGAUGCAUGAAGCUGGGAACCAUCACAGCCAAGUUUCAGACGAGAGUAAAUUCAAGUGGUGACCGAGAUCAACUGAUAUCAUUUGGUUUAGGCAGCACGUCCUCACAAAGUUCAUUAUAGCUGCUGUAAAAUUGAGCAGGGGUCCAAUCUCCACCUCAGCCGCAGUCAAAUGACCCCACUGCCCUCCCAUGUGGGAGGCUGGGACCACAGCCAGAACUUUUAUCUGUUCCACUUGGGCUGAGAAAGAAGCAAAGGCCAAGAUUAGCCAGGAAGGUAUUAGAAUGACCUUCUAGAGAAUACGCAUGUGAGCAGACAUUCCAGAACAUUCUCCAUCGCAUGAACAAGGUACAGAAAUGCAGAGCCAUACAGGUGGAGGCAGCCACAGAGCGGAUCAUUCCUGAGUUUGAGCAUCCCUGGGAGAAAGGUCACAUGGAACACGCUGGAGAAAACUCAUCUCCUCUUAUACAGACACAGAAGUCAAGGCACGAAGGAUUCGAGCUCCAGGCCAGGCAGCCCUGGACAAGCAGGGACCACAGACUCAGGAUCCUCUGUCCUGACAUCUUUCCUUCUUGCACCACCUACAAGAAAACUUACCUCAACGUUGUGGGUCUGUAUGUUGACUCAACUCUUACAGGUUUCCUCAAGGUGUAUAUUUGCAAUGACCAAGGAAAUCUUCCUACAUAACCAUAGUAUUGUAUUAUUAUUAAAGGAAGAAAAUUUAACAUCGAUACAAUGCAGGUAUCUAGUCCAGAGUCC
rnacentral:lncRNA from 1 species